rnacentral:sRNA from 1 species
GCAGCCGCAAAAUCGGCUGUCGGGAUUGGAACCCCGGAUAUCACAAUGACGCAUAGCCGCGUUAGCGGUUUUUUU